rnacentral:lncRNA from 1 species
AAACUUCAAAAACCUCCCCUGUGGUUUCGUAGUUUCUCACUUUGCCCCUCCUAUGGUUUAAAAUGUAUCAAAUUGCCUUUCUGUGGUUUCAUUUUUAUCUUUUCGAUAGCUUUUUCGUUAAUAUUUCAUUAAAUUAUAUACAAAAAACUUCAGAUACCUAUCUAGAUUUAUCAAAUAUUCAUUUUAGUACCCUUUAAUUUUAACUUUAUCACUGAUUUAAGGAAAAAAAAUAAUGAAAUUGAUAAGAAAAAGAGAAAAAAGAAACCACAGGGGGGGGGGGCAAAUUGAUACAUUUUAAAUCACAGGGGGGCAAAGUGAGAA